GGAUCCAGACUUUGAUCAUGGCUCAGAACGAACGCUGGCGGCAGGCCUAACACAUGCAAGUCGAGCGCUCACUUCGGUGGGAGCGGCGGACGGGUUAGUAACGCGUGGGAACGUGCCCAGAUCUAAGGAAUAGCCACUGGAAACGGUGAGUAAUACCUUAUACGCCCUUCGGGGGAAGGAUUUAUCGGAUUUGGAUCGGCCCGCGUUAGAUUAGAUAGUUGGUGGGGUAAUGGCCUACCAAGUCUACGAUCUAUAGCUGGUUUUAGAGGAUGAUCAGCAACACUGGGACUGAGACACGGCCCAGACUCCUACGGGAGGCAGCAGUGGGGAAUCUUGGACAAUGGGGGCAACCCUGAUCCAGCCAUGCCGCGUGAGUGAUGAAGGCCUUAGGGUCGUAAAGCUCUUUCGCCAGGGAUGAUAAUGACAGUACCUGGUAAAGAAACCCCGGCUAACUCCGUGCCAGCAGCCGCGG
rnacentral:rRNA from 1 species